GACGAACCGUGCGAACGUUGUUCGGAAUCACUGGGCUUAAAGGGCGCGUAGGCGGGCUAUCAAGUCCGGGGUGAAAUCCUCCAGCUUAACUGGAGAACUGCCUCGGAUACUGAUGGUCUCGAGGAGGAUAGGGGCACACGGAACUGUGGGUGGAGCGGUGAAAUGCGUUGAUAUCCAUAGGAACUCCGGUGGCGAAAGCGGUGUGCUGGAUCCCUUCUGACGCUGAGGCGCGAAAGCCAGGG
rnacentral:rRNA from 1 species